ACAAUGGGCUGAGCCUCCCGAGGGCCUCCUGCUCACCGCGUUGGGCUCUGCGCGCAAGCGCGCGUCCGUUGCGGGCGGGGUGUACCUGUGGUCUCCUGCCUGUCCCCGUGUGGUCGCGCGUUGAGGUCGGCUGCCUGGUGAGCGUGGGCGGCCGGAGGCCGCGAGAAGGGGCGCGGGGCGGGGACACAGGCACUGCCGCCUGGGAUGCGUCCCUGACUCGGGAGACCCCCUGAGGGCCGCGUUCGGGGAAGAUGCCGCGCCGGCUGCGGCGUCUCCAUUCUCCUAACCGCCGAGGCUGCCCAAGCGCGGCGCAGAGGACAGAGCGACUCACUGCCGGCCCCCGCAUCCCAGCGAGAAGUGUGCUGGCCAAGGACCCAUGUCAUUCAAGGACAUGACUGUGGACUUCACCCGGGAUGAGUGCUGACAACUGACGGGUAUCAGAGGAUGCUAUACUGGGAUGUGAUGCUGGAGAGCUACAGCCACUUAGUCUCUGUGGGGUACUGCACUGCCAAACCAGAGGUGAUCAUCAAGCUGGAGCAAGGAGAAGAGCUGUGGCCAUUAGAAUUCCCAGGCUGGAGUGGUCCCGACAAAGGCCACUCAGUCAUGUCUGGCUCUUUGCAACCCCACUGACUAGUCUGCCAGGCUCCUCUGUCCAUGAGAUUCUCCAGGCAAGAAUUCCGGAGUGGAUUGCUAUAACCUUCUCCAGAGGAUCUUCCCAACCCAGGGAUUGAACCCUGAUCUCCUGCACUGCAGACAGAUUCUUUACCAUUUGAGCUACAGGAAAGUGCUAAAUCUCAUCCCACCAUUGCUGGGUGGACAGAAUGAUCUCUGUUCGCUUCCAAGGCAAACCAUUCAAUAUCACAUGAAUCCAAGUCUAUGCCCCAACCAAUAAUGCUGAAGAAGCUGAAUUUGAACAGUUCUAUGAAGACCUACAAGACCUUUUAGAACUCACACCCAAAAAAGAUGUCCUUUUCAUUAUAGGGGACUGGAAUGCAAAAGUAGGAAGUCAAGAGAUACCUGGAAUAACAGUCAAAUUUGUCUUUGGAAUACAGAAUGAAGCAGGGCAAAGGCUAACAGAGUUUUGUGAAGAGAACGCAUUGGUCAUAGCAAACACCCUCUUCCAAAAACACAAGAGAAGACUACACAUCACCAGAUCAGACUGAUUAUAUUCUUUGCAGCCAAAGAUGAAGCUCUAUACAGUCAGCAAAAACAAGACUGGGAGCUGACUGUGGCUCAGAUCAUGAACUCCUUAUUUCCAAAUUCAGACUUAAAUUGCAGAAAGUAGGGAAAACCACUAGACCAUUCAGGUAUGACCUAAAUCAAAUCCCUUAUGAUUAUACAAUGGAAGUGACAAACAGAUUCAAGGGAUUAGAUCUGAUAGAGUGCCUGAUGAACUAUGGAUGGAGGUUCGUGACAUUGUACAGGAGGCAGGGAUCAAGACCAUCCCCAAGAAAAAGAAAUGCAAAAAGGCAAAAUGGUUGUCUGAGGAGGCCUUACAAAUAGCUGAGAAAAGAAGAGAAGCAAAAGGCAAAGAAGAAAAAGAAAGAUAUGCCCUUGCUGCUGCCAAGUCACUUCAGUCGUGUCUGACUCUGUGCGACCCCAUGGACUGCAGCCUACCAGGCUUCUCCGUCCAUGGGAUUCUCCAGGCAAGAAUACUGGAGUGGGCUGCCAUUUCCUUCUGCAGUGCAUGAAAGUGGAAAGUGAAAGUGAAGUCACUCAGUCGUGUCUGACUCUUAGUGACCCCAUGGACUGCAGCCCACCAGGCUCCUCCAUCCAUGGGAUUUUCCGGGCAACAGUACUGGCGUGGGGUGCCAUUGCCUUCUCCCAUACCCUUGCUAUAUCUUGCUAUUCUUUGAAUGCAGAGCUCCAAAGAAUAGCAAGGAGAGGUAAGAAAGCCUUCCUCAGAGAUCAACGCAAAGAAAUAAGAGGAAAAAAUAGAAAAGACUAGAGGUCUCUUCAAGAAAAUUAGAGAUAUCAAGGGAACAUUUCAUGCAAAGAUGGGCACAAUAAAAGACAAAUGGUAUGGACCUAAAAGAAACAGAAGAUGUUAAGAGGUGGCAAGAAUAUACAGAAGAACUAUACAAAAAAGAUCUUCAUGACCCAGAUAACCACAGUGGUGUGAUCAUUCACCUAGAGUCAGACAUCCUGGAAUGCAAAGUGGGCCUUAGGAAGCAUCACUAUGAAAAAGCUAGUGGAGGGGAUGGAAUUCCAUUUGGGCUAUCUCAAAUCCUAAAAUAUGAUGCUGUGAAAGUGCUACACUCAGUAUGCCAGCAAAUUUGGAAAGCUCAAUAGUGGCCACAGGACUGGAAAAGGUCAGUUUUCAUUCCAAUCCCAAAGAAAGGCAGUGCCAAAGAAUGUUCAAAUGAUCGCACAACUGCACUCAUCUCACACGCUAGCAAAGUAAUGCUCAAAAUGCUCCAAGCCAGGCGUCAACAAUAUGUCAACUGUGAACUUCCAGAUGUUCAAGCUGGAUUUACAAAAGGCAGAGGAACCAGAGAUCAAAUUGCCAACAUUCGCUGGAUU
ensembl:lncRNA